ACGGGUGAGUAAUGUGUCGGAACGUGCCUAGUAGCGGGGGAUAACUACGCGAAAGCGUAGCUAAUACCGCAUACGCCCUACGGGGGAAAGCAGGGGAUCGCAAGACCUUGCACUAUUAGAGCGGCCGAUAUCGGAUUAGCUAGUUGGUGGGGUAAUGGCUCACCAAGGCGACGAUCCGUAGCUGGUUUGAGAGGACGACCAGCCACACUGGGACUGAGACACGGCCCAGACUCCUACGGGAGGCAGCAGUGGGGAAUUUUGGACAAUGGGGGAAACCCUGAUCCAGCCAUCCCGCGUGUGCGAUGAAGGCCUUCGGGUUGUAAAGCACUUUUGGCAGGAAAGAAACGUCAUGGGCUAAUACCCCGUGAAACUGACGGUACCUGCAGAAUAAGCACCGGCUAACUACGUGCCAGCAGCCGCGGUAAUACGUAGGGUGCAAGCGUUAAUCGGAAUUACUGGGCGUAAAGCGUGCGCAGGCGGUUCGGAAAGAAAGAUGUGAAAUCCCAGAGCUUAACUUUGGAACUGCAUUUUUAACUACCGGGCUAGAGUGUGUCAGAGGGAGGUGGAAUUCCGCGU
rnacentral:rRNA from 1 species